rnacentral:lncRNA from 1 species
UCGUCUUGGUGGUUGAAGACGGCUCGGAGGACGCCGCCGUCGCGGAGGUCACAGCUCGCACCAUGCGCAGGUUAGCCGGAUGAGAGGAGAUACGGAGGGAGGAGAGAGACGGCGAACUCCGGAACGGCGCCGUAUCGACGCGGAGAAAGGUAGAGAAGGUAGCAGAAGAAAGAGCCAUUGUCGUCUUGGGUGUUGUGUCUGUCUGUCUGUCUGUGUGGUGGAGUUGGAAGACGAGAGGUUUUGCUUUAUCCCUUUGUGUCCCUUUUAAUUUCUCGAGUUUCUAUGUAAACCGUUUAGUCUAAACCGGACCAAUGUUGUCUGGUUCUGGUUUACUACGAAGACAGACAGUAUGUCAGAAUCAAAUUAAUAUUGGUUGUUUUGCAAAGUAAUACAUUUCCUAAUGUUUAAAACAUUGCUAGAUGGAUAAGGCCUAAGGGUUUCGUAGAAGAUCAGAGACUAGGUAAACAAAUUAUUCAAAGUUUAGAUGGGAUCUACGCGUUAACAAAUAAAUAAGUUAUAUAUGUAUUUUAUAUUUACAUUAGAUAUUUUAGUUUUUGAGUUUAAUUAUAAAAAAUAUUUUGGUAAUUAUAAAAAUUACAUAUAUAAAAUACAAUUAGACAAACUUAUGAAUUUUCACUAACAACAGAUUUAGACAAUGGCAAAUGUCAAUAAUAGCACAUUUUGAAGUUUAUGUCUCAAAAAUGGCACUAGAAGGAGAAAGUCACAAAAAUAACAUUCAUUAAAGGGUAAAAUAUCCCUAAUACCCUUGGUUUAAAAUUAAAUAAAUAAACAAAAAUAAAUAAAAAAAUAAAAAAAUAAAAUAAUGAAAAAAAAAGAAUUUUUUUAUAGUUUCAGAUUAUAUGUUUUCAGAUUCGAAUUUUUUAUAAUAUCUUUUUUUCGAUUUUUUUUUUCAAAUUUUCGUUUUAUAAUUUAAAAAAUACUUUUGGAAACUGUUUUUAAAAUUUUUAUUUUUUAUUUUAGUAUUUAUUUUUUAUAAAAUUUUAAACCCUAAUUCCAAAACCCCACCCCUUAACUCUAAACCCUAAGGUUUGGAUUAAUUAACCCAAGGGGUAUAAAUGUAUAUUUAACUCUUUAAUGAAACCUAUUUUUGUGACUUUGAGCCUUGAGUGCUACUUUGGGAACAAAAAUUUGGUUUGGUGCUAUCCUAGUCUUUUUCUCUUUAGACAAUCUUAGAUCGAUUUAAAAUGAUUUAGACUAUUUGAAUUGCAAAAUUCAGAUUUUUUUAAAAAAAAUUGAGUACGACAUAUACCAAUUUUCAGAACAUUGCAUUUCCUUCUCCUAGUACACUUUUAUUUAGAACUCUGUUGAUAGUUUUCCACAAGUACAAAUGUAUAAUACAGCUCAACAACAAACAUGUUAUACCAAAAUCAUACACUUUCCCAGCAGAGUUAACACAAUCAUUAAUUGUUUUCCUUUAGCCUUCCAUGCUAUUUGAGGGAUAACAACGAAGACCAUAAGAUUAUUUUUCUAUAUUUAGCAAAUUCACUUGCAAAAUGUUUUAUUUGGUUGCCAGAAACUGUGUUACAAGAGCUUAAAAUAUUUGGGAGCUUUAACAGUAGCAACAGUGUUUACAAUGUACCUUGACAAUUUCAGACACUGAGUUAGGCCGCGUGUACGCAGCCAAAACACUCAUAUUAAAAUCCUGCAACAUAAACAAAUCUUGAAAUGCCAUAAGAGCAUCAUUAUCCCAAAUACCCCUUUAGAGUUUCUUAAUUAUUUUUUAAAUAUUUUUUAAGUAGUAAAUGUGAGUUAAGAGACUUAGUUAAGAGAUUUCAACAUUUAUGUGCUCCAAUGUAAAUCUCUUAAUUAAGGGUUCUUAAAGAAAAUAUGAGAAGGAAUAACAUGAGAAGGAGAAGGAGAAGGAAGAACAAAGGCUUCUUGUGAAUAAACUUUCAUUACAAAAUAGUAUUAUAAAGACAAUGACACAAGAAAAAUUGUACACAGAGAAGCCUAAGCAAUGCAAUAAAAGAGAGAGAUUUACUCACCCUUCUGCUAAGUAUGAUCUUGUCACCUUCCAUGAAUUUCUCCCAUUCAAAUCUUUCGGCAAUACUGUUAAGCAGCUUGGCUAUUUGAUCAUACUUCAUAGGGCGCAAAGUAUUAACCUCAAAACCAAACUUCUCAUGUUCUGUACCUAUCCUGCAAACUCAAAACAUCAAGUUAGCUUCAUGGAAUAAUGGUCCAACACACAAAACAAUCUGUAUGAGCUUAAAAACAAAAACAAGGUAGCACACGAACACAUACAAAGACAUUUAACAAAACAGUCUGCAAUUUGUAAUGUUAUAACAAAACCACAUGACAAGUCCUACACUUUCAUGUCUGGUAAGAUUCAAAUCCAACUGAACCUAAAUUCCAUCGAGGAUGUUUCCCAAAAGUUAAAACUUGUUUCAAAAGAGCACACAAGACGGAUCACUUAACCAAUCAAGCAAAACAUUCAGUUUUUCAUAGUUAACACAUGAUCCAAGUUUAAACAAACAAUCAACAGGACAAUUCAGUCUAAACUGGCACAAGUAGAAUAGCAGUAGAGAGCUACAAGAAACACUUUUAGGACUUUGACCAUUUCUCUACGAAUGAAAAAGUAAAAGGACCAGAUAAGCCAUUACCCAUUAUAGUUUCCCAUUGUCAACAUAAGCUAUUCUCAUUUGCAAAAAGAUUAUGUAUAAUGGUGCUCUAAAGAACAUUUCCUUGCUCAACUAUAAUAUCAAGUACGAGAAAGACUUAAGGAGCAUGUGUCAUGAUCAAGUUAUUAUAUUUGUAUGAAAAAUGAGAAACCCUGUACCAAUACAGAAAAUAUAAAAUGACAUCUCCUCUAAUUUCACCUGCAUCAUCUAUAACUUAAAACAAAAGCAUGCGCACAUAAGGCUGACAUCUCUGUAAAUGUCAACAGCCGACAAAGUAGGAACCAAUGAACCCACUACGAGAGGUUAAUAUGCAACGGCCUAAAUCAUAAGAUACAAUGACUCAAGAAGCUCUUAUUCUAAUUACAAAGUAUUCAUUUUCAAGAUGCAAUUAUGAUAAAUGAGUGCUUGUUAUCAAGUAUCAAGCUACUACAAGAGAACAAAAAAAAUGAAUCACGCUAAAGGUAACAAGCAGUAAAGUCAAUAGUACUAACCUCACGUAUAGCACAUGCAUAGUCUUCUUCAUCCUUACUCUUCUUCCGGCGGGGAAAGCUCCAGCUUGAUCCUUUCCAUCCCUUCACCAACAAGCACUGAAAUUUCCAAAAAAGAGAGAGACAUAAGUUCAUGAACAAACAAUAAGAAAACAAACCAAAAACUGUAAAGAUCACAAGGGUGGUCUAACCCGUUAUAAAUGCAAGCUGUUAACUUGGUGAUACCCACAUGACUCCAAUGUGAAGAUACGUCAACUAUCUCACUCAACUAAACAUGAUCAGGCAAUCAUCUUCUCUUGAAUCAGAUGUGAACUUGGUGAUACAUACAUGACUCCAACAUGAAGAUACCUCAACUAAACAUUUACAAGCAAUCAUCAUCACAGAUUCAUAGUCAAAACGUCGGAAUCAGAUUAUCAAUCAUGGCACAGAAACAGAGUAAAGAAUAAAGAGAGAGAGAGGCAAACCACUUAGCACGAGCAGUUAUUAACAACCUCCUUCGGUAGCAAUCUUAUACAACCCAUAAAGCUGAAGCUGCAACUCGUUCCACCACUCGCCGAGCAUGGCGGUGUCAGUCGUAAGGGAUUUGUGGACGUGGCGCGUGAACAAUACGGGGAUAGAGGCGCAUCGGCAGAGGUCGAUGGUGGCGAGAGCGUUGUAGAGGAUAGGAUUGGCCAUGGAGGAGAAGUGGUUUUGUAAAUCGAUGACGAGAAGAACGACGUUUUGAGGGCUUGGGUCUCGCUUUCGGGUCUUGUACUUUCUCCACGAGGAAGCCAUCUUUUGGAGAUGGAGAUGAAAGGAGACUCUUGAUAGGUUGAGAUAUUUUUCUUUCCUUUGUUUUCACCGCUUCGCCGAGGAGAGAUCACCAGAAGAGUCGGAGCGGUCGAGAAGUCACGAGGGAAGGAGAGAAGCAACGUUUCUUCCCAGCCUUAAUUAAGCAACGCUUCUUCUUUAAUUACACAAUUUUCUUUUCUUUUUUAACAUUAAAACACUAAGACCAUCAUUAACCCUGAACCUUAAUGAAUUUCUUAAGGCAAAAAGUGAUUAAAAUUAAAUCAGAAAAAAAGAAAAUAGAGAUUACCGAUCUUUAAUUUGGGUGUUUGGUGAUAGAUUAUUAGUGGGUUUAAACCCAUGUGUCAGUCUCCUAGUUAAAGUUUUUUUUUUCUGUUUUUUUUUUCUAUUUUUUUUCUUUUAUUGAUAGAAUUAGAAGGAAUUAGAAGGAAUCAUUGUUUCCAUUCAAUUCCACUGUUAUUCAAUUAUGAAUUUCAUCAAUUCUUUUAAAUUCUUUUGUUAUUGGAUUAAGCAUUUGGAAUCAUUUUUUUAAUUACUUUAAAUCUGUUGUUAUUCAAUAGUUGAUAGAUUUUGUAGUAAUGGUAUUUGAUAAGAAUUUAAUGGAAAAUGUCAUGUAUAAAUGUAAAGGGUCAAUUCUUUGCUCUUAUGCAGAGAUUUAUAAUGAAUUGUAGGAAAACACAAACAAUAGCAUUUCUCUACUUCUCAUUUUUCCAGAAGUACGUAAAGAAUGAAGAGACCUUUGUGGAUGAUAAUUAAUGAGUUACCCGCAAAUAUAAAAAACAACAAUUAACAAAUAUAAAGUCAAUGUUGCCUUGUUGCUGAAGAAACUGAUAUUAGGAGUUUUCAAGGCUCCUAAGACAAAUGUUGUAGUAUAGAAGAUUGUCGAACCAGUUCUGAGGGAUAUCAAAGCACUGAGAAUGCAAGUACUCACUUAAUCUAAGUGCAACCAAUGAUUUAGAUGGGUUUUAAACUACUACUAAACUAGAAAGCAAUAACAGAAUGAUACUUUCUUGACUAAGGGAAAAGAGAACUCAUGGGCAUAGGGAUUAGACCUUGGGUGAUCAAGUAUCGAACUAAGGAUGGCAAAUGAUCAAUCAAACUAUCAACCUUAAGCCUAGACACAAUUCUAAGCAAGCUCUAUGUCUAGAUGAAUGCUCAUUUGCUAACAUAUCUCAAACAUCAAAUGUCUUUGGUUGAAUAAUAUGAAAGCAAUCAUUACUAACAAGUCUAUUAGCUAUCUUAGCAUCUUUAACAACAAAUGUCUUUGGCAAAGUAUACUAAAAGCCUAGGAGAGUUGUCUCAGGCAUUUCAUCAAACACCUUUUGGGUGGGAAAUACCUAUCGAUCAACUUUUGAGUGGCCACCUCAGAAGAUGCAUUAUGAAUACUCUACUAGCAAGGAACAAGAAUGAUCUACACUAAAACAUCCUAGAACUAACCUAAUCACCCUUAAUCUCCCUAACCCAUGAAUUCAAAAGGUGAUUACUCACUAAUCUNNNNNNNNNNNNNNNNNNNNNNNNNNNNNNNNNNNNNNNNNNNNNNNNNNNNNNNNNNNNNNNNNNNNNNNNNNNNNNNNNNNNNNNNNNNNNNNNNNNNNNNNNNNNNNNNNNNNNNNNNNNNNNNNNNNNNNNNNNNNNNNNNNNNNNNNNNNNNNNNNNNNNNNNNNNNNNNNNNNNNNNNNNNNNNNNNNNNNNNNNNNNNNNNNNNNNNNNNNNNNNNNNNNNNNNNNNNNNNNNNNNNNNNNNNNNNNNNNNNNNNNNNNNNNNNNNNNNNNNNNNNNNNNNNNNNNNNNNNNNNNNNNNNNNNNNNNNNNNNNNNNNNNNNNNNNNNNNNNNNNNNNNNNNNNNNNNNNNNNNNNNNNNNNNNNNNNNNNNNNNNNNNNNNNNNNNNNNNNNNNNNNNNNNNNNNNNNNNNNNNNNNNNNNNNNNNNNNNNNNNNNNNNNNNNNNNNNNNNNNNNNNNNNNNNNNNNNNNNNNNNNNNNNNNNNNNNNNNNNNNNNNNNNNNNNNNNNNNNNNNNNNNNNNNNNNNNNNNNNNNNNNNNNNNNNNNNNNNNNNNNNNNNNNNNNNNNNNNNNNNNNNNNNAGUAGGCAAUGAAUCACUAAUCUAGCCCCUUUUUUUUUUUUCGUUUUUCUAUUUCCUUUAUUUUAUUUUAUUUUAUUUUUUAUUUUAGGCUGGGGGCCAAGACUUUUCAAAAUUUGAGCUAGAGGCUUCUCUACUUAUCCCAAUAAAACAAUUCACUUAAGCACAAAGAGUCUAUUCUUUUUUUUUUUCAUUUCUCCCAAAUCAUAAUCACAACACUCACCCCCACCCUAUAGCUAGACAAUAGAGUGCCCAAUCUAGCAAGAAUGAAGAUCAAGCAUUGUCGUUCCCGAUACUCUCAACAUUAUGCACAUGUAAGACUUUCCGAAGAAGGCCUCACUCAUCAAACAAUGAAAGCUUAAAAGGAGGGAAAGGUUUUGGGAGUGGUCUACCACUAGAGUUUGUCAAAAUAAGAUUGGCAUAAAGGAUGUGACAACUCAGGUGUGUAUAGCCAUGACUCAGUACACAAGGGACCAUGAGCAAGAAGCAUUAAGUUCGUUCAGUUCAAAUAAGGUUGUAGUUGGCUUCAAAGACUGAGUUUCAGCAAUCAACAAGUUUCAGGAAGAGUCUUCAAGGCUCGAAGCAUACAAGUGUUUUUGAGAGGUGCAUAAGCUAUUCAGGUGCAAAGUAAUGUUCUUUACAAGGCAUUUCAAAUCAUUGCUCCCAAUGCAAGUAAAUGCAACCUAUAUGCUCUAGACUCUCCUAGAAAUGCCAAUGAUGCAAACUAAAUAAUUUUUUUUUUAUGCAAAUAUAUAUGUAUAAUGCAAUGCAUGAGACUCAAAAUCAUCAAAGCAAACGUGAUCAAAUACUUGGUACCUCCCCCAAACUUAAAUGACACAGUCUCUGUGUUGUCAAGGAGAGAGAGAUACCCAAAAAGAGAAAACUAAUAUGCAAAAACGAAAUGGUAUAUACAAGGGAAAGUAGUGGGUUACCUUCUAUGGAGAAUGAGUAGAGGGAGAUGCUCCCUCCUCGUCGUCCUCAGGUGGUAACUCUUCAAGGUGCUCAUCAGUAAGAGUGCCCAUCUCUUCAAUGUAGAAGGCUUGCCCGAACACAGUUGGUUUCUUCAUUUUCUCCUUGAUGUCAAAGUGGAGAACAUGCCCUUUACCCAAAUGGAGAUCAAUCGUGCCCUCUUUCACCUUAACAAUUGCUCCUGCUGUAGCUAAGAAUGGCCUUCCAAGAAUCAAUGGGUCUUGAGCCUCCUCACCCAUCUCAAGCACCACAAAAUCUGUAGGUAUCUCAUACCUUCCAAUCUUCACAGGUAGGUCCUCUAAGAUGCCCACAGGGUACUUCACUGAACGAUCAGCUAACACCAGAGAGAGUUUACACUUCUUGUACUGAGUGAAUCCAAGCUUCUUUGCAACAGACAAAGGCAUCACGCUGACACUAGCUCCCAAAUCGCAGAGACAUUUCUCAAAUACCAUAGGUCCAAGAGCACAAGGUAGUGUGAAGCAUCCUGGAUCCUCUAACUUCUCUGGAACAUCAAGCCUUUGGAUGAUGGCACUGCACUCAUGGGUAAGAAUCAUCAUGCUUUCCAUUUCCUUCUUCUUUGCAGCUACAACAUCUUUCAGGAACUUGUUGUAUUGAGGAAUCAACAUGAAAGCAUCGAUGAUGGGCAUUGCAACCUGAGCUUCACUCAUUUGCUUGUCAAACAAAGCCUUGUACUUCUCUAGCAGCUGCCUCUUGAAUCUACCAGGGAAUGGUAGUUUGGGUUCAUAGGGAGGAGGAACAAAAGAAUUCUCACUUGCUGGAGCAAGAACUUCACCAUCCUUCACUGUUUUCUUCUCUUCCCCAACCUUUCCUUUACCCUUGGCUUCCACAAUCUUCUCCAAGAUUUCAUCAUUGAUUUUCUCAUCAACAAUCACCACUUCAUCAUCUAAGUUGAUGGCCACCUCCUCACCUAGUUUCUCAGCAUCCCUGGUGAGGGUUGUAGGAGGUAACUGCUUACCACUCCUAAGGGUGAUAGCUUUGGCCUCCUUGGGGUUUUGGUCAGAUUUUCCAGGUAGAGAUCCUUGCUGGCGAGUCUGGUGAGUGUUCAUGGAAGCAAACUGAUUCUCUAAAUUCUUGACUGUAGAAGCAAGAUGUGAGAACUUGUUGUUGAGCUCAUUGUAGCUUCCAUCAAUCUUGGAAUGAAGGUUUUUCAACUCAUAUCCAACAUGCUUCUCACUUCUAGUCUGAGACUCCAAGAUUUGUUUCAGCAGGGUGUCAGUGCUGCUCUCUUGAGGAGCAGAGGAACCAGAUGAGGGGUUUUGCUGAGGUUGAUAGCUGCCUUGCUGGUUGUUUCGAGGCGGAUAACCACUCUGUUGGUUGUUGGGAUAGGAUUUCUGUUGGUAGUUGUUGUACUGAAAGUUGGGCUCUUUUUUGUACCAGCUACCAUUGUUGUUGAUGAAACACAGCUCUUCCUGACCUUCCAAACCCUCAACCUCAUGGACAACAGGUGGUGUAUCUUGGCUUGGGUUACCAACAAAGUGCAGCUGCUCUUGUGUGGCUUUAUCAGCAAGGAGGAUGUCUAUCUUAUCCUGUAGAGCUUUCAACUCCUUCCUCGUCUGCUUAUCAUCUGUUCGACUGCUUCUGUCGUGGUCUCCACUGUAGACUGCAUCACUCUUUACCAUGUUGUCAACCAGCUCCUCUGCAUCUUCCUCAGUUCUCCCCAAGAAGAACCCAUUGCUAGCUGUAUCCAGUCUGGCCCUGUACUUAGGAAGAGCACCACGGUAGAAUGUGCUCAGCAAGCUCUCCUUAGAGAAACCAUGGUGUGGGCAUUGAGCUUGGUAGCCCUUGAAUCUCUCCCAGGCUUCACUGAAUCCUUCCAAGUUCUUCUGUUGGAAACUGGAGAUCUCAUUUCUCAGCUUAGCAGUUCUUGAGGAUGAGAAGAAUUUCUCCAAGAAUGCUCUCUUGCACUCAUCCCAAGUGGUGAUAGAGUCGCUGGGUAGAGACUUCUCCCACUGACGUGCCUUAUCCCCCAAAGAGAAAGGGAAUAGCUUGAGCUUUAAGGCAUCUUCGGACACACCAUUGGUUUUUGACAACCCACAGUAGCUGUCGAACCUAUCCAAGUGAUCAAAUGGGUCCUCCAGAGCCAAGCCAUGAUACUUGUUGUUCUCGAUCACGUUGAGGAGUCCUGACUUGACCUCAAAGUUGUUGGCUGCCACAGCUGGUGCUCGGAUUCCGAAUCUGUGACCAUGUAUGUUGGGGCGGUCGUAAGUGCCAAUGGGUCGAGCUGCCCGCGGUUGGUGUUCUGCCCCUUGCGGUGGAUCUGCCAUAUCAAUAUCCAAUCUCUGCAAGUGGGCUUGUUGUUCUUCUUCUCUUCUAGCUCUAGCACACUCCCUCUCUAAAGCUCUGAUGUCUGCUACUAUUGGAACUAGGUUUGAUGGACCCCUGCUCCUCAAGUUCAUACACCUGAAAGUGAAAGGUAAGUGAAGAAGAAGAAUCAGUAACAAAACAAAAUUAAAAUGACUUAGUCUCAAGCAAGUGACUAAAUCUCAAUGUUUAAAUCUACUCAGAAUUUGGCAACGGCGCCAAUUUGAUGUUAGGAGUUUUCAAGGCUCCUAAGACAAAUGUUGUAGUAUAGUGAUUGUCGAACCAGUUCUGAGGGAUAUCAAAGCACUGAGAAUGCAAGUACUCACUUAAUCUAAGUGCAACCAAUGAUUUAGAUGGGUUUUAAGCUAUGACUAAAACUAGAAAGCAAUAACAGAAUGAUACUUUCUUGACUAAGGGAAAAGAGAACUCAUGGGCAUAGGGAUUAGACCUUGGGUGAUCAAGUAUCGAACUAAGGAUGGCAAAUGAUCAAUCAAACUAUCAACCUUAAGCCUAGACACAAUUCUAAGCAAGCUCUAUGUCUAGAUGAAUGCUCAUUUGCUAACAUAUCUCAAACAUCAAAUGUCUUUGGUUGAAUAAUAUGAAAGCAAUCAUUACUAACAAGUCUAUUAGCUAUCUUAGCAUCUUUAACAACAAAUGUCUUUGGCAAAGUAUACUAAAAGCCUAGGAGAGUUGUCUCGGGCAUUUCAUCGAACACCUUUCGGGUGAGAAAUGCCUAAGGAUCAACAACUGAGUGGCCAACUCAGAAGAUGCAUUAUGAUUACUCUACUAGCAAGGAAAUAUGAAUGAUCUACACUAAAACAUCCUAGCUCUAACCUAAUCACCCUUAAUCUCCCUAACCCAUGAAUUCAAAAGGUGAUUACUCACUAAUCUCCAUGAUUCCUCUUAAACCCAUAUUGGAUUUCAGAUUAAUCAUGUAGAGAAAUAGAUAAGAAAUCAACAAGAACACAAGAACAUAACAAUCAAAAUCCAAGAGAUGAACUUCUCAAGAGAGUUCUUGUGUAUUUCUCAAUAGAUCAAAAGAUAAAAGAUAAUCUGCCUCUGGUGGCUACAAAAGAUGUUUAAAACAUAGGUUUUAGAAAUGUAAAACGUGCAUAAUGAAAUGACCAAAAGGCCCUUAAGUAAAAUAGAAAUCGAGCAGAUAAUAGGCGCGGAGCGACCUCGGCAUGUCGCUCCGGCAAGUCGCUCCGGCCUUCGGGAGCGACCUCAGUGGGUCGCUCUGAGAGGUCGCUCCAGGCUUCGCUUCGUGUCGUCUCGCCAUAGAGACGCGAGCGACCUCGGGGUGUCGCUUUGGGAGGUCGCUCCGAGAGGGGUGUGAGAUGCGAGCGACUUCGUGGUGUCGCUCCGGGAGGUCGCUCCGGGCUCGUUCUCGCGUCUCCGAGUGAUGAAACCGCGAGCGACUUCUCCCUGUCGCUCUGGUAAGUUCGCUCCAAUAGGGAGGUCAGAGCGACUUGGUGGUGUCGCUCCGAACUGGUCGCUCCAUGCCUUGCUCGCCCAAUGACCACUCUUUUCACCUCUUUUGAGCUCCAAAUAACCUCAUGUGGUACUCCAGUACCUAAUAGAGACUCAUGUAUGCAAAAUGCAACCUAAACAUGUCUAAAUCCUAAUCUAUAUGAUGAAAAUGCUCAUGGAUGAAUGGAUAAAACAAUGUAAAUAUGCAAGAUAUCAGAAACCCAGUUAACCAAAUCAAGAUGCCUUCUGAGACUUUCGAUUGUGUGCUUUCGCAGAAGUAUUCUAUCAAAUUUAUGUAUAUUCUUUUAAAAUCAAUAAUAGAAGUAAGCAUAGGAAUUAGAUAAAUGCAUUAAAAUCUCAUCAAAUCUUUGAAAAUACUGCAAAAGUUUUUCCUUAUGAAUUCUUUCAAAUUCAUAGAUUGAAUACCACCCCCUUAGUUGCUCUGUCUUCCUCGUGUUCUGGUUUGAAGGAAAGGGGUGAAACCCAUCAAAACCACCACUGAUCCUCCACACAGAUCACCACCGAUCAAUACUCCACCGAUCAAUACUCCACCGAUCAGCCAAACCACCACCGAUCCUCCACCGAUCGAAACCACCACUGUUGGAAGGAAAGGUUUGAAACCACCACAGUGUCUCUGUCUUCUCGUGAACUUAGCUCUUGAUGAUUUAGAAAGUUACAAUAUUUGAAUCUAAUCUUUUCUCAAGUUUGCUCCAUGCUUUAAGUUGGUUAGUAGCUCUAGAUUGCUUUAUGUGCUAUGUUUACUACCUAAUCUGAAUCUGAUCUGAUCUUUUCUCAAAGUUUGUUAUAUUGGUUACUAGCUCUGGAUUUACUUACAAGUCUAUAGUUCUGUUAUGUUGGGGUAAACCUAUCGGUUGGGAUGUUCCCAAAUAAUAUAAAGUUUUGUUCUUUUGUUUGUUAAUGUUUUAGUUUUUGUGCUCUGUUUUUGUCAGCCUAAUCUGAAUAAGUUCUUGGCCAUGACGACCUGCGUGGAAGGAAGUGCAUAUUCUUUUAUCUAAAGUUAAUCACUUUCUUGUGUUAGAGUAUUAGGUUUUCUUUCCAGAAUCUCAAAGUUGACUGUUUGCAUAUGGGUUUUGAUCAAUAGACCUUUAUACUCAUGAUUCUCUGUUUUGAGUUUGGUACUCUUUUAAGUUUGAUGUCACCAAUCCUCCAAGUGUGUUGACUGUUGUGUUCAGGACGUUAUUUACAUGUAAAAGUCCAUGAUGCUUCUGUUGUUUGGUUUGUUAUAAUUGCAGAGCGGACUUUCAUUGUGUUGGACAAUUUCAUAAAGGGUGACUUGUCUCAUGGUGAACCUCAUGUAGAAGGUUUGUUUCCUGAGUUGCUUCCCUUAAGGAACUGGUGCAUAAAUGAUUACGCGUUUAAGCACACACCAAUUAACCUAAUGUGCCAACAAUACCACAAUCGAAUGGUAUGUCAUUGUAGCAUUUUAGGAUCGAAUCCACAAGGAACUAGUGACCUAUAACACCAAGAAUACACAAGCUUUCUUAAUCUAAGCAAACAAGAAGAUGGAUGAUUUGUAACAAGCUAAGAUCCUAGAAAUAUAAACAAGGUGAUCUCAAAUCCAAUCAAGAAAUAAGUGCAAGAACUUUCAAAUGCUAAGGAUGGAUUCAUGGGUAAGGAUAAUUGAUAUAAGGUGAUCAAGUUUCAAUCUAAAGGUGUCAACUUUCAACCGAUCUAUCUAUCUUAGGCCUAGACACAAUCCUAAACAAACUCUAUCCCUAGAUGAAUGCUCAUUUACCUAGAUAACUCAAGCAUCAAAUCCCUUUGGUUGAAUGUUAUCUAAGUAAUCAUUAAUCUCAAGUCUACUAGCCAUCUUAACACCUUUAACAACAAAUCCCUUUGGUAAAGGAUGUUAAAAGCUUAGGAGAGUUGGUUCAGGCAUUUCAUCAAACACCUUCCGGGUAUGAAAUGCCCUCGGUAUGAAAUGCCUAGAGCUCAACUUUAGAUAGGCCAACUCUAGAGUUGCAUUAAAAACACUCUACUAGCAAGGAACAAGAUGGAUUUAUACUAAAACACUUUAGAUCUAGCUUAAUCACCCUAAUCUACCUUAACCCAUGAAUCCAAAAUGUGUCUACUCAAUAAUCUCCAUGAGAAACCUUAAACCCAUGUAAGGAUCAAGGCUAAUCAUGUUAAUGAGCAAGAGAAACACAAUUAUAAGAUGAAGUACUUCCUUAAAUUAUAGAAAGAUUCAAGCUUUUACAAGUUUAGACAAAGUCUUGAGAGAAAAUGAGAUAAAAAUAAAGUUUCUAGGUCUAAAACUAUAUAUAGGAGAUCCAAACUCGUGAUGGUUUAAUUGAAUUAAACCGGGUCAAACCGGAAUAAACCGGUCAACAGCUCAAAAUCUUGUCCGCGAGCGGCUUCUUUCUCCCGCUGCAGCAAGCCGCUACGGAGCUAGCUUUGUUCCGAGCGGUGUCACCAAGUCGCUGCAGGAAGUCGAUACGAAACAGGGACAUGGGUCUUUUCCCAGCGGGUUCAUCAUGCCGCUGUGCUUGCUCGAGCAUGUAAAUGCAAUAUUAAGACCUAAAUGCAACCUAGAAUGAUCAUAAUGAACUAAAAUAUAAAUCUAAAACUCAUUAAAAUCAUGAGAUAUCAAUAAAGAAGACUACUUGACCUGCAUUAGUUUGUAGUCUUCUAUGUAGCUACUGUGACUAAGCGACUUGUUAUCAUUACUAUUGCAACACCCUCUCUCUUUAGUUGUUAUAGUGGAAUUGUUCUUACAAUUAAAAUGGAAAUGAGAACAUAUCUACAAGUCUGCUCCUUUGUUAGUGGUCUAGAUCAUUAGUUAUUGGUUUGGCUUGAUUGUUUUCACGCUGAGUGAGUCACUGUAAACAAGCUUUUGUUUGCAGCCAUGACGAAGUUUUGCUAAUUUUCAGGCUAUUAUUUGUAUUGAUUUUCAGGAGCUAUUAUUUUGAUAUGUUUAUGGUUGCUUGAUGUAUUUGGUUGUUUUGUAGGAUUAGAUGGAGAUGUAAAUUUUUUUUUUUAAGAAUCCUCAAUUAAGAAACUUCCAUUGGACCACUCAAAAUGGAAGUUUCUUAACAAAAAUUCUUAAAGUUACAAAAUCAUUAAGAACCUUAUUUGGAGUUUUAGGGAUAAAGAUGCUCUAAAAACCCAGGUUAAGAGCCCACGAUAUUGAUGUUCUAAGACCUGAAAGGGUCACCGCGUAGAGACUGAACACCCAUCGUGGAGAAAUUCGAGCCGUACCCCUGCGGGUCAGACCGAAUCACAUAGUAAGGUCAUAAGUUCUCUCACAUGGCAGCUUACAUUCAUUUGCCGUUUAUAUGUAAUAUUACCUCUCUUAGAGAUAUAUUCAUAAGGCGUCUUCCCGUUUAAAUACAACAAACACACACCACAUUCUCAUUGUAGCUUCCACUGAUGAUGUAAUUGUUCCCAUUCAUGUAAUAUGAUCGAGUAUGGUUAUCAGGCCCGGCUUAGAAAAAUAAAAGGCCAUGUGCUCUUUUUCCUUUAGACUAAUGAGUAAUUUUUAGAGUUUAGACCUUCAAUAUAUCAAUCUAAAAAACUUUAGAACCCUAAAGUAAUAAAGAAAUUUUAACAUACAAGAUGGAUUCUGUGCAUUUGCACUCCCACUCCCAGCACUCCCUUAGAACCGACACUGAUGAUUAUUAAAAUUUUUUUAUUCUUUAGAGCAAAAAAUUUGUACAGACAAGAAUCAAAAUGGAUCCUUAGGCAGAAUUUUAGACAAAGAAGACAAAAUAACCUAUUGAUUUCGUUCCUCCAAACAAAAAUACUGAGAAAAGGAAGAACUCAUCAAUUUCUAGAAAAAAAUGUACCAAAUUUCAGACAAAACCCAACAAACCAAACCCUAAACCCAAACAUACAUAUGGACAUCUCAACGGUUUAUGUCUUAACGCAAGAUAUUAGACAAACAACAAAAAAAAAAGUGUGAUAAAAAAAAACUCACUUCUCUUCGAGGGUGGCCAUUCCAGUGACUCAGUGAGCGUAGCCACUCAACCAAAAUGAACUUUUUUCGAUGUUAUCACAAACUUUCAUACACGAAAAUGAGUUUUGAGGAACCUGCCAGCUCGCUCGUUUAGAAGCUUUUAAAAAGUUCAUAUAUGAGUGAGACACACACAUGCUGUUAAAGUCCCACAUCGUGUGGUCUAUAUCAUUCAUUUUCAUUGCCCUGUUUUUUUCCUUAGAUCAUAGUAUAUGAGUGAGCGACGUAGUAGUAGUGUAUGUUAACUACUUAUGACAAAAAAAACGGGUCUAGCUUAUAACACACUUAAGAAAAGAUCAAGGAUGUAAUUCAAUGAUUCACACUGACACACACCCGCUACUAAAGUCCCACAUCGUGUUGUCUCUAUCAUUCUAUAUGAUCCGGUCCGGAGUUGUCCAAAAAAUGAUCCAGUCCGGUUUAGCCGGUUUUCACUUGAUUUAAUGAUUUCUGCAUACCGGGUUUAUUUGAAACGGUGUCGUUUUGAAGAACUCUAUUAUGUUCAUCCCGUCUCGUCCGUCACCUAAAACUGAGAAUCUCACUUUUGAAUUCAAAAAAAAAAACGAGGAUCCGUUCAUCAGAUCUCACAAUGGACGAUCCCUAUUCAAGAGGUACAGUCUUUACACUGCUUUUUGUUGGAAUGAAAAACUUUAUAAAGAUGGAGAAAGUGUUUAAGUGUUUGAAGAGAAAGUGUUUUGUGUGAAGAAGAAAGAUUUUAUAACUUAGAAGAGGAUUUUUAUUACUUAUUACAAAUUUGGAUUAUUUCUUGAUGAUACAAAAUGAUGGGGAGUGGAGGUAUUUAUAGCCUCCAAAGUACAAAAUAUCUUACAUAUUUUAAUCCUAAAUUUAGAGAAUUCUAGCAUAAUAUCUAAGAUUUUUUAUCCUAAUUAUCUAGAUAAUUCUAUGAGAAUAUCUAGAUUUUUAUCUUAUGGAGGUGGAGGAUAAUUCUAGAUAUUGAGUUAAGUUUGGGCUAAAAUGAUUAGUAAAUUAUUAGCCCAAAAUGUGAUCCAAAUCAAGUUUAACUUUCAACACCCCCUCUUAAACUUGAUUUGGUUACUCCUAGCAAACUCCUCAUCUUGAUAAAGUCUUCUCGCUUGAGUGGCUUGGUGAAGAUAUCAGCUACUUGAUCAUUUGUCUUCACAUACUCUAACUGCACAUCCAUCUUGGUAACACAUUCUCUAAUGUAGUGAUAACGAGUAUCGAUGUGCUUACUCCGAUCAUGGAAGACUGGAUUCUUCGCCAAUGCUAUUGCCGACCUGUUAUCCACAAAGAUCUUUGUUGGCUCCUCUUGUGGUAGGUUCAACUCCUUUAGCAAGUUUCGUAACCAAAUAGCAUGGCAAACACAUGAAGUAGCUGCCACAUACUCCGCUUCACAAGUAGAAAGAGUGACAAUUGGUUGCUUCUUUGACAUCCAUGUGAAAGCGGUUUCUCCAAUGAAAAACACGAAGCCACUUGUGCUUUUCCGGUCAUCUACGUCUCCACCCCAAUCGCUAUCGCUAUAUCCAACAAGCUUGUAAUCGUCAGAAAUAGAGUAAUACAAGCCAAAGUUGAUUGUACCUUUGAUAUAGCGUAGGAUCCUCUUGGCUGCCUUGAAAUGAGUUGUUGUUGGAUGCUCCAUGUAUCGACUCACAACUCCAACUGCGUGUAGGAUGUCGGGCCUUGUGCACGUUAGAUAUCGUAAGCUUCCAACCAAACUCUUAAAGAGUGUUGGAUCCACACUCUCUCCUUCUUCUUCCUUUGAUAACUUGACUCCACAUUCCAUUGGCGUGCAAACUGGAUUUGAGUCAUCCAUCUUGAACUUCUUAAGCACCUCUUUAGCAUAGCCUUCUUGAGUAAUGAAGAUUCCAUUUUCUUCUUGCUUUACUUCAAUGCCAAGGUAGUAUGACAUUAAUCCAAUGUCGGUCAUCUCGAACUCCUUUGUCAUCUCCAUCUUGAAAUCUUCAAACAUAAUCGGAUUGUUGCCAGUGAAUAUCAAGUCAUCAACAUAUAAGCAUGCAAUCAAUAUAUCAUUGUUUUGAGUUUUGAUAUAAAGUGCAUGCUCAUAUGGACACUUGAUGAAGCAUUUCUCCUUGAAGUACUUAUCAAUCCGAGUGUUCCAUGCUCUUGGUGCUUGCUUUAAUCCAUAAAGCGCCUUCUUCAGCCUUAAGACUUUGUCUUCUUCUCCUUUAACUAUGUAGCCUUGUGGUUGCUCAAUGUAGACUUCUUCCUCAAGGUCUCCAUUUAAGAAGGCUGAUUUGACAUCCAUUUGAUGUAUCCUCCAACUCUUUUGGGCUGCCAAUGAAAUGAUUAGUCUAACCGUUUCUAAGCGAGCAACUGGAGCAAAUACCUCAUCAUAGUCGAUCCCGGCUCUUUGACUAUAGCCUUUUGCCACCAAUCUUGCCUUGUACCUUUCAACUUCUCCUUUAGAGUUCUUCUUUGCCUUGUACACCCACUUCACACCAAUUGCCUUGUGUCCAUUUGGAAGUGAAGCUAACUCCCAUGUAUCAUUCUUUUGAAUCGACUUGAUUUCCUCAUCCAUUGCACUUCUCCAUGACUUCUUUUCUUGGGCUUCUUCAAAGUUCAUAGGCUCGCAAUCCGCAAAUAGACAAAAUAGAGUAAGAUUGUCUUGAUUUUCGGUUACCUCGUAGAUGUCUUGUAGACUUCUAAAACGUGGAGUCCUUUCACUUGAGCUUUCAUCUCCUUGAGAACUUGUUGUUGGUGAAGUUGGUGGUGUAGCUGGCUCUUCUCUCGGUUGCUCCACAUUCUCUUCUUCAAAGGAUGGAAAGAAGUUGUAGUCUUCAUUAUUUGAUCUCCAAUCCCAUUCUCCUUCUUCAUCAAAGAUGACAUUCCGACUAAUGAUUGUCUUCUUUGUUUCAGGAUUGUAGAGCUUGUAGCCUUUGGAGUUAGCGUCAUACCCAAUGAAGAUGUACUUCUCACUUUUAUCAUCUAGUUUGCUCCGCUUCUCGUCUGGAACAUGAGCGUGAGCAAUGCUUCCAAAGACUCUUAGGUGUGAGACUCCAGGCUUCCUUCCGCUCCAAGCUUCUUGUGGUGUCUUUUCUAAAACACUCUUUGUUGGAGAACGGUUUGAUAUAUAAACCGCACAAGCAACUGCUUCUGCCCACAACUCCUUUGGUAGCUUCUUACUCUUGAGCAUGCUUCUUGCCAUCUCAAGUAUUGUCCUAUUCUUUCUUUCCGCUACUCCAUUUUGUUGAGGGGUUCUUGGCACCGUCAACUGUCUUCGAAUGCCAUUAUCUUCACAAUACUUCAGAAACUCCUUGGACAUGAAUUCUCCUCCUCGAUCUGAUCUCAUGGACUUGAUCUUAAGACCACUUUCCUUCUCAACAUGGGCUUUGAACUUUUUGAAAUUUUCAAACACUUCUGAUUUUUGUUUCAAAAAGUAAACCCAUGUUUUUCUUGAAAAGUCAUCAAUAAAGAGAAGGAAGUAGUUACUCUUACCAAGUGAACUUGGUUUGAUUGGGCCACAUACAUCUGUAUGUAUGAGUUCUAGUGGCUUUCUUGCUCUUGUCUCCGACUCCUUUGGAAAACUCAUCUUGAAUUGCUUUCCAAGUAAGCAACCUUCACACACUUGAUUUGGAUGAUUGAUGCAAGGUAAUCCUUUCACCAUUUCUUUCUUGGAAAGUAGCUCUAAGCCUCCAAAGUUGAGAUGCCCAAAUCGAAGAUGCCAAAGCCAAGAUUCCUCCUUGUAGCACAUCUUGAGACAUCGUGCAAUGUCAUUUUGAAUGUUUAGGACAAACAUUCUAUUGCUUGACAUUGGCACCUUUGUGAUGAGAUUAUUUGCAUUAUCUCUUAAAGAAAGGCUAUUAUCUUUUAGUCGAAUGUCAUAACCUUUCUCUAAGAGUUGUCCUAGGCUCAAGAUGUUGGUCUUCAUGCUUGGAAUGUAGUAAACGUUGGAAAUGAAUUGAUGAUCUCCAUUCUUCAAGCGGAUGAGAAUAUUUCCUUUACCUUUCACUUCCAUCUUCGAUUCAUCUCCUAAAGCCACAUCAGUUUUCACCGAUUCAUCAAGCUCCACGAACAUGCUUUUAUUUCCACACAUGUGGUUGCUUGCACCACUAUCAAGGUACCACUUGUGAACCUCAUUUGGUUCAUCCUUCUUGUAAGCCAUCAACAGCAUAUCUUCUUCCUUACGCCGUUCUUCAACAUAGUUGGACUUCUCUUCCACUCUAUUGUUGUUUGGAGUUUUGCAUUCAGAAGCAUAAUGUCCAAACUUUCCGCAACUAUAGCAUUUGAUGCUUGAUUUAUCGUACCUUGAUUUUGGGUUUCCUCUUCCACGACCUCUUGAUGAAUUCUCUCCUCUUUGGUUGAAGUUGUCUUCAUAUGGUCUCCAACCUCGUCCAUUUACACCACGACCUCGUCCUCGGAAAUGACCGCCACCACGUCUUAGAUUGCUUCGGCCACUUUCUUCCUUGUGAUCAAUUCUCAUCUUGAGAACUUGCUCCACAAUAUCUUCUUUCUUCUUCUUCUUUUCUUCAUAAGCUUGUAGUGAUCCAAGAAGUUGCUCCAUCGUCAUAGUCUCCAAGUCUUUUGUCUCUUCAAUCACCGUAACAAUAUGCUCGAAUUUCGAAUCCAAUGAUCUAAGAACUUUCUCCAUGAUUCUCACCUCAUCUAACUUCUCACCAUUUCUUUUUAGGUUAUUAGUAACCGUCAAGACUCUUGAGAAGUAAUCUGAGAUGAGUUCUCCUUCCUUCAUUUGUAAUGCUUCAAAUUCUCCUCUUAGAGUUUGAAGUCGUACCUUCUUAACUUGUUCCGCUCCCUUGUAAGAUGUCCGAAGCUUGUCCCAUGCUUCUUUGGACGUCUUUGCACCAGCAACCUUCUCAAAUGUAUCUUCAUCUAAUCCUUGAUAGAUUAGACAGAGAGCCUUCUUGUCUCUCUUCCUUGAAUCUCUCAAACCAUCUUUUUGAGUUUGAGAUAGACCACCAUCAUUCUCCGGUUCAUUGAAGCCUUUCUCGACUAUCUCCCACACAUCAUGUGCUCCUAAGAUAGCCAUCAUCCUAAGACUCCAAUUGUCAUAGUUGCUCUUAGUGAGCAAUGGAACUUGGAGGGGAACACCACUAUUUGCCAUCUUCAAAGGGAACUUGUAGCUCUGAUACCACUUUGUUGGAAUGAAAAACUUUAUAAAGAUGGAGAAAGUGUUUAAGUGUUUGAAGAGAAAGUGUUUUGUGUGAAGAAGAAAGAUUUUAUAACUUAGAAGAGGAUUUUUAUUACUUAUUACAAACUUAGAUUAUUUCUUGAUGAUACAAAAUGAUGGGGAGUGGAGGUAUUUAUAGCCUCCAAAGUACAAAAUAUCUUACAUAUUUUAAUCCUAAAUCUAGAGAAUUCUAGCAUAAUAUCUAAGAUUUUUUAUCCUAAUUAUCUAGAUAAUUCUAUGAGAAUAUCUAGAUUUUUAUCUUAUGGAGGUGGAGGAUAAUUCUAGAUAUUGAGUUAAGUUUGGGCUAAAAUGAUUAGUAAAUUAUUAGCCCAAAAUGUGAUCCAAAUCAAGUUUAACUUUCAACACUUUUGAAUUUGCGAGGGAUGAUUCUGGAUUUGUUUUCAUGGCAGAUUCUGGAGAAGCAGCUUCUGACGGUGCUGAAAGCUAUGGAGGAUAAGCUCGACGAGGAGAUCGCAUCCCUUGAGAAGCCCGACGCGGACGAUCUUGAGGUUUUGAGGGAGAGAAGGUUGCAGCAGAUGAAGAGAAUGGCGGAGAAACGGAAACGUUGGAGGAGUCAUAGACACGGAGAGUACACCGAGAUCCCCUCCGAGAAAGACUUCUUCGCCGCCGUCAAGGCAAGCGAGCGUAAUAACGUUCAGAUACAGAGAUGAUGAAGAUGAUGAUUUGAGCUUGAGCUGAGAAGAUGAAUCAGAGAAAAGGAUAAAGUGAAAGUUUGUUAUUUCUCGUAAACUGAAAUGUACAUGAUUCUGUUCUAUAUAUAGUUACUCGGUUAAGCAAACGGAAACUUAACCAAUAUAAUAAACCGGGAACUAAACCGGACUAUACUAAUACGCCCCUCUCAAGUCUUUAUCAGUGAAGCUGGAGGUUGAUAAAGACUUGACAAAGACAUUCUCGAGAGAAAAGAAUGAAAAGGACCAGGGUGAAGUGGUCUAGUGAGGAUGUCUGCAAGUUGAUUGCCGGUGGAGACAUGAAAGGUCCUGAGCUUGUCGGCUUUGAGUUGAUCACGAACAGUAUGGCAAUCGAUCUCAAUGUGUUUCGUCCGCUCAUGAAAAACUGGAUUCAUAGCUAUGUGAAUCGCAGACUUGUUAUCACAGUAAAGCUUUGCCGGACCUGUAACAGUGACGUGAAGAUCACGUAACAGUUGCUGAAGCCAUAUCAACUCACAAGUGGCUAAGGCUAAACUGCGAUACUCUGCCUCCGUGCUACUACGACUAACCACUGCCUGUUUCUUUGACUUCCAAGAGAUCAGGGAUGAUCCAAGAUAAACACAGUAGCCAGUGAUCGAACGACGUGUCUCCUUGCAAGUAGCCCAGUCAGCAUCAGCAAACGCAUUCAAGCACAACUCUGAAGACGCUGAGUACAUAAGCCCUUGUCCAGGAUUGUUCUUCAGAUAACGUAACACUUUAUGAGCUGCCUGAAGAUGUGUAUCCGUUGGAGCAGAGAGGAACUGACUCAACUGAUGAACCGCAAACGUGAUAUCAGGUCUCGUUAUUGUAAGAUAAAGGAGUCUACCAAUGAGCUCCCUAUAGACCUUCGCAUCAGCAAGAGGAGUACCCAAAUCUUUAGUAAGAUGGAGAGUAGGAUCCAUAGGAAUGGAACUUGGUUUGCAUCCAAGAAGACCAGAAUCCUCCAACAGAUUCAAUGUAUACUUUCUUUGGCACACAGAGAUACCAUGUGAUGAACGUGCAAUCUCAAGACCAAGAAAGAACCGAGCUUGACCAAGGUCUUUGAUUUUAAACUCAGAUCGAAGUAGUUCCUGCAACGCUACUACUGCAGAGGAAUCAUUACUGGCGAUCAAUAUAUCAUCAACAUAGACAAGUACUGCCACAAACGAAGCAUCAGUCUUCUUGAUGAAAAGCGUGUUGUCUGCAGGAGACUGAAUGUAAUUAGCACCCAGCAAAACAGAAGAGAACCGUUUAUACCAUUGGCGAGAUGCUUGUUUGAGUCCAUAAAGAGACUUUCUGAGACGACAAACAGGAUUUGGUGGAAGAACAACACCAGCCGGAGGAGUAUAUCCCUGAGGUAAGCGCAUAUAUAUCUCCUCAUCUAGUUCACCAUGGAGAAAUGCAUUAGAUACAUCCAUCUGGUUUAAACUCCAACCAUUAAUAGCCGCCAAGCCAAGAAGAAGUUUAACACUGGUCAACUUCGCAACAGGAGAGAAAGUAUCAAGAUAAUCAAUCCCUUCUUGCUGUGUGUAUCCUUGUGCAACCAAACGACCCUUAUGACGCUCAAUAGUUCCAUCCGCGUUAUAUUUGAUCGUAAAAAUCCACCUACAGCCCACAACAUUCUUCCCAACUGGUAAAGAAACAAUAUCCCAUGUUCUGUUUUGUUCCAUAGCAUCAAGUUCCACAUUCACUGUUUUUGUCCACUUCUCUGAUUUCAUGGCUUGUUGGAAUGUUUUAGGUUCAGUUUCUUGAGAAUAAGAAUGAACAGCUGCUUGGAAAAUGGGAUUUUGACGGUCAUAAGAGACAACAGAAGACAAUGGGUAAGGUGUUUUAAAAGAGGAAGGGAAAGAAGGGGAAGAAACUGAAGUGAACGGUAUAAGGCAACACAGGUGAGGUGGUAAUGUUGAAGAAAGACGAGAUAAGCGAGUAGAAAUAGGAGUAGUAGUUGAAAGAGCAGCACAAUGAUACUGAGAUAGAUAAGUAGGAGCUCUAGUAUGUCGUUUAGGCCUAGAUGCAUGAUCAUGUUCCAUACCAGUAGUAUCUAUGACAGUGUGAUCAGUAUUAGUGUCAUGAGUGUGUGAUUGUGCAGGAACAGAAUCCAAAUUUGAACACUCUACAGGUGAUGACACAAGUAAUGAAUCAACAAAAUGCAAAGGAACAGGCAUAGGCAAGAUCGUGUUAGGGAACAUGUCAACAGAUCUGGAUAACAACUCAGAAGUCUUAAAAGGAAACACUGUCUCAUGAAAAACAACAUUUCUUGAAAUUGUCACAGAACGAGAUUCCAAAUCCAAGAGUUUAUAGCCCUUAUAACCAGAAGGAUAACCAAGAAAGACACAAGGCAAAGCUCUCGGUGAAAAUUUUGUUCUAUCUUUUGCAUUAGUAGAAACAAAACACAAGCAACCAAAUGUUUUCAACAAUGAGUAAUCAGGACAUUUGUUCAAUAGUUUCUCAAACGGAGAUUUGUUGUUUAAUAAUGGUGAAGGCAUUCGAUUGAUCAAAAACACUGCUGUCAUAACACAAUCACUCCAGUAUUCAAGUGGUAUAUUAGAUUGAAAAAGCAAUGAUCUAGCUACAUUUAACAAGUGUUGAUGCUUUCUCUCUACUACAGAAUUUUGUUGAGGAGUAUAAGCACAACAAAAGUAAUGAAUCAUUCCAAGUUCUUUGAUUAAAUCAGUGAAAGCUAGUUCAGGAGCAUUAUCAGAUCGUAUAGCUUUUACUUUCAUAUGAUACUGAGUAGAAACGUGCUUAAGAAACAGAGGAAAAAUGACAGAAACAUCUCCUUUAGUCUUUAACAUAUAAACUAGGCCUGGGCAUUCGGGGUCCCAAUCGGGUUUCGGUUUUAUCCAAUCGGGUUUCGGUUUUUCGGGUUCAUCAAAAUCAGCCCCAUUCGGAUUAUAUGAAAGUUCGGUUCGGGACCGGUUCGGGUUCUAUCGGGUUCGGGUCGGGGUUAGUGAAUCUUCAAAGAACCGGUACAACCCAAUAUACUUUCGGGUUCGGGUCCCAAUCGGUUUUUCGGUUUAAAAGUACCUGAUUUUUACCUAUUUUAUAACCAAAACAUGAGUAAAAUCGGUUCUUCAGUUUUAAAAUACCUGAUUUGUACCUAUUUUGUAACCAAAACUUAAGUAAAAUCGAUUCAAAAAUAAGGAACAUCAACCGUGAUCAUUCAAAAUCAAACGAAAAGUAAACAUAUUUACUGAUAAAAAGAAAACCAAAUAAAUAAAAGCAUAAAACGAAAACCAAAUUCUCAUGAAAUGAGAAAUAUUGUUUAACGAAAACAAAAUUUAAAUCUAAAUACUUCAAGAUUCAACGGCCAUCUUUAACCAUCAACCUUCAUGUAAUAGAACCACCAACCUUCAUGUAAUAGAUAAGUAUUUUAGAUGUUCAAUAUUUCUUAAUGUAUUUUGGAUACAUAUUAGGAAUUGAGAUCAUGUUUGGUACAAGAUCUUUUCGAGGUUUUGAAUGUUUUGGGUUCUAUCGGAUAUCCAUUUAGAUUCGGGUUCGGUUCGGAUAAUACCCAUAACCCAAAAUACCACAAAACAAGACCCAUUCGGUAUUUACGUCGGGUUCGGAUCGGUUCGGAUUCAUUUUUAUCGGAUCGGAUUCAGUUCGGAUUUUCGGGUUCGGUUUAUUUGCCCAGCCCUAAUAUAAACCCAAGUAGUUCUAGUACAAUCAUCAACCAAAGUAAGAAAAUAUCGAUAUCCUUCAACAGACUCAACACUAAACGGACCCCAAAUGUCAACAUGAACCAAAUCAAAAGGACAAUCUGAGAGAUUAUUGUGUGAAACAUAUGCAAGACGACGCUGCUUUGCUAAAGGACAUAUAGAGCAGGGAGCAUGAGAAGAAUCCACAUGUUUAUAAGAUGGUAACUGAGAAGAAAGCUUUUGUAAAACGAUAGUAGAGGGAUGUCCCAAACGUUGAUGCCACAAGACGCUAUCAGCAGAUACAGAACCACAGAACACAUCACUUCCAGAAGAUAGUCGAUAAGAAGUAUCAAGAACAUAGAGAUUGUUGUAUAAGCUACCCUUCCCAAUCAUCAAGCCCCGAGAAAGUUCCUGGAUUAAACAGCCAUUAGGGAAGAAAUGAGCAGCACAAGACAAUGUCUUUAUCAAACUACUUACACUAAUCAGGUUAAAAUGGAAAUCAGGUACCAACAACACAUCAUAAAGAAUCAAAUGAUCACUGAUUUUAAUAACACCAGUGUGUGUAAUGGGAACACGAACACCAUUAGGUAAAGUCACAGUCACAGAAUCUACUGGUACAUAACUAUCAAACAUGCCUAAAUCUGAACAAACAUGACUAGAAGCUCCACUAUCUAUGAUCCAAGUAUCACGUGGAACAAGAGAAGGUAAAGCAGACAGACAAUGAUUUUGAUAGAAAAGGUUAUUAUUUGUAGAGGUAAGAUUGAUAGAAGGAAAGGGUAUAGUACCAGAUGAAGACUGAGGAUCCAUAAAGCCAUGAUCAGUGAUCGUUGCACUUGAGUGGGAAAAACUUGAGGAAGGAACUUGAGGCUCUGAAACUCGAACAUGAGCAUUGAACUGUGAGACCAUGUUUUGAAUCUGUUGUGGACUGAACUGUUGCAGAUCAAGAUUAACGCCUCCACUUAUCAACUGAGGUGUAGCCGGUGGAUAUGAAUAUGCGUUAGGCUUGUUUUCAGCACACACAGUGGCAACAGCAUUCGACAUAGGAGAAGGUGCUGGAGUAGAAUUCUGACCCUGAGAACGAGACAUACUCUGCACAUUCUUAUUGUGAGAAGUGUUCCUAUUGUUGUAAGAUCCAUAUUGUUUAUAGCCUGGUGGAAAACCGUGAAGCUUGAAACACUUCUGUACUGUGUGUCCAGCUUUACCACAAUGGGUACAAACCGGCCUUUGAUAAGCUCUCCCAGCAUUAUAAGCAGCAACAUAAGCAGUAUCUUCAACCGUAGAAACUGGACUAACAUGAGCUUGUGAUGUACCCGCAUGAAAAGCCACAUUGUCAAUAGCAGUAACAGGACGUAAGGUGCGUUGACGUUCAUCCUGAGCUACGAUGUUAAAGGCCUCUUCAAUAGUGGGGAUUGGUUUGAGCAUAAGAAUAUGGCGACGAGUGUGCUCAAAUGACUCAUUUAAUCCCAUCAGGAACUUAGUCACACGAGAACGAUGCUGAAUCUUCUCCCAAAGAGCUGCUGCGUCACACUCACAUUUGCCACAAGUACAAAUAGGAAGUUCAACAAAAUUACGAUGUUCCUCCCAUAGAGUAACAAGCGCAGUGUAAUAUGUUGAUAUAUCCAUAGACCCUUGUUCAAUCUUGCUCAAACGUUGCUCAAUGUCAUACACUCUCGGCGCAUCAUCUUGUUUGAAUCGACAAAGCAAAUUCUUCCAAAUUCCUUCAGCAGUAGAGAUGAAAAGUAAACUCUGUGCGAUCUCCUUUGACACCGAGUUCAUUAACCAAGUCGCAACAAUAUCGUUACACCUAGACCAAGCACCACAAUCUCUAUGCGUAGAAGGCGGUUUAGGAAUCGUACCAUCAAUGAAGCCAAGCUUAUUACGGACGUUCAAAGCCAUACGAACAGAACGCCUCCAAGAAUGAAACUCCGAGGCCAUUGCCAAACGAUCAGUGACCAAAAUCAAUCCAGCAUGAUCGUUGUGAUGAAGAUAAAACGGAUUGUCAUAGUUAUCGGAGACUUGACGAACAGAAUCUUGAUGUACAGAAGAUUGAUUCGCCGCCAUGAGAUCUGACUGAACCGAUUACUGAGACGAAGAACCGGGAUGAUGAAUCAGAAAGAUUAUGCAGACGAACAAUCGAACCAAAAGAUCACAGAUCGUAGCGAAGACGACGACGAACAAGCGAGAAAGAGGAAUCAACGGAAGACUCAUGAGGAAUCAAAAUCACAGCUCAAAGAACGAAGCGGAAGGUGAGAUUUAGUGCUCUGAUACCAUAAUAACGUUCAGAUACAGAGAUGAUGAAGAUGAUGAUUUGAGCUUGAGCUGAGAAGAUGAAUCAGAGAAAAGGAUAAAGUGAAAGUUUGUUAUUUCUCGUAAACUGAAAUGUACAUGAUUCUGUUCUAUAUAUAGUUACUCGGUUAAGCAAACGGAAACUUAACCAAUAUAAUAAACCGGGAACUAAACCGGACUAUAUUAAUAGAGCGCGUUGUCUGCCACUUCUACCGCGAGAAUUGGCGCUGUAAAGUAUGGUAUUCACCAAUCUUGACAAGAGAUGUUAGGACAGCAUCAUUAUUGCUGGGACAAAAUUUUGAGUUCUUAACUUUUUUUAUUAUUAUUUUUAGAGUAAGAGACAUUGUUAAGAGACAAUAGCAAAUGUGCACAUUAUUGCUAGGACUCUUGCUACUGAUUCUCGUCUCUCCAUCAUCUGCUUCUAUGGUAUCUCCAUCCUCUUCUCUUUCUCCAGCAUUAACUGCAGAUGCAAAGCUAUAGAUAGAAUCAGUAACCGGUGAAAGAUUUAAAGGAGGUUGGUGGGAGACUUACGUUGAGAGCUCGCUGAGCUUCUCGUUCGAUCCAAAUGAUGGUGUGGUCUGAUGUUCGUUACAAGAAAGUACAAUGUGUUCAAAUCUUCCAUCUACGGGUACUGCUGUCUUCACAACCGGAGGAAAUCUUCCUAAUCUGCAACAAACAUUUACAUAAAUUGUGAGAAUGUUGUGAGCCAUCUUUGAAAGUUUCUACAAAAAUAUACUUUCAUAAACCCUCUACAUAUAGAGUUAAUGAUCAGUAUAUGAAGUAACAUUCCUGAUUCAUGAAUAUAAUUCAUACUCAUACAAUAAAGUUUACUGCUUUGACAGCACCAACCAUAGUUUUACAGUACCAGGUUCAUGGGCAUCUUCAUAACCUCAAAUCUAAGUAGCAACAAAUCAAAAUCAGCCAAAUUGACCUCACUAUCCAAGGAUCUAAGUUAAGCUGAGCAAAAACCAACUUGAUGAAUCAUACCCACACAAUAAAGUUUACUCAUUUGAUAACAUCCAACCAUGGUUUUAGAGUACAAAGUUCAUGGGCAUCUCCAUAACCUCAAAUCUAAGUAACAACAAAUCAAUAUUACCCAAAUAGACCUAAUUAUACAAGGAUUUAAGCUAAGCUGAGCAAUAAAAAUCAACACUUUUAUAACGCCCCGAUCCGCCCACGGCUAAUGGGCCACCCACGCCCGCUCUCUCGGCCCGUGGGCCCAUCCCGUCUGACGGUCGGUCCGUUCAUUUUCCAAAGGCUCGAAAUCAUUGUUUACUGACCCUGCAAUCACCACCCGACCUUUUCCCAUGCUUUGGCCUCACUCACACGCUAUCGCGAAUCACUUCCCGAUAGGUCACUCAUCCUUCCACUACUCCAGCUCAAGCACGCUUAACUCUGGAGUUCUUUCAGGAUGUGCUCCGGAAAAGGUAAGUCAACUUUGGUGACAUAGGUAGCCAAAUCAAUUCUCUUAAGCCUUUUCACAUAUCACAACUCGGGAUGUUACAAUUCACCCCCUCUCAAAGAACGCAACGUCCUCGUUGCGAGAAAUAUUGUUUAACGAAAACAAAAUUUAAAUCUAAAUACUUCAAGAUUCAACGGCCAUCUUUAACCAUCAACCUUCAUGUAAUAGAACCACCAACCUUCAUGUAAUAGAUAAGUAUUUUAGAUGUUCAAUAUUUCUUAAUGUAUUUUGGAUACAUAUUAGGAAUUGAGAUCAUGUUUGGUACAAGAUCUUUUCGAGGUUUUGAAUGUUUUGGGUUCUAUCGGAUAUCCAUUUAGAUUCGGGUUCGGUUCGGAUAAUACCCAUAACCCAAAAUACCACAAAACAAGACCCAUUCGGUAUUUACGUCGGGUUCGGAUCGGUUCGGAUUCAUUUUUAUCGGAUCGGAUUCAGUUCGGAUUUUCGGGUUCGGUUUAUUUGCCCAGCCCUAAUAUAAACCCAAGUAGUUCUAGUACAAUCAUCAACCAAAGUAAGAAAAUAUCGAUAUCCUUCAACAGACUCAACACUAAACGGACCCCAAAUGUCAACAUGAACCAAAUCAAAAGGACAAUCUGAGAGAUUAUUGUGUGAAACAUAUGCAAGACGACGCUGCUUUGCUAAAGGACAUAUAGAGCAGGGAGCAUGAGAAGAAUCCACAUGUUUAUAAGAUGGUAACUGAGAAGAAAGCUUUUGUAAAACGAUAGUAGAGGGAUGUCCCAAACGUUGAUGCCACAAGACGCUAUCAGCAGAUACAGAACCACAGAACACAUCACUUCCAGAAGAUAGUCGAUAAGAAGUAUCAAGAACAUAGAGAUUGUUGUAUAAGCUACCCUUCCCAAUCAUCAAGCCCCGAGAAAGUUCCUGGAUUAAACAGCCAUUAGGGAAGAAAUGAGCAGCACAAGACAAUGUCUUUAUCAAACUACUUACACUAAUCAGGUUAAAAUGGAAAUCAGGUACCAACAACACAUCAUAAAGAAUCAAAUGAUCACUGAUUUUAAUAACACCAGUGUGUGUAAUGGGAACACGAACACCAUUAGGUAAAGUCACAGUCACAGAAUCUACUGGUACAUAACUAUCAAACAUGCCUAAAUCUGAACAAACAUGACUAGAAGCUCCACUAUCUAUGAUCCAAGUAUCACGUGGAACAAGAGAAGGUAAAGCAGACAGACAAUGAUUUUGAUAGAAAAGGUUAUUAUUUGUAGAGGUAAGAUUGAUAGAAGGAAAGGGUAUAGUACCAGAUGAAGACUGAGGAUCCAUAAAGCCAUGAUCAGUGAUCGUUGCACUUGAGUGGGAAAAACUUGAGGAAGGAACUUGAGGCUCUGAAACUCGAACAUGAGCAUUGAACUGUGAGACCAUGUUUUGAAUCUGUUGUGGACUGAACUGUUGCAGAUCAAGAUUAACGCCUCCACUUAUCAACUGAGGUGUAGCCGGUGGAUAUGAAUAUGCGUUAGGCUUGUUUUCAGCACACACAGUGGCAACAGCAUUCGACAUAGGAGAAGGUGCUGGAGUAGAAUUCUGACCCUGAGAACGAGACAUACUCUGCACAUUCUUAUUGUGAGAAGUGUUCCUAUUGUUGUAAGAUCCAUAUUGUUUAUAGCCUGGUGGAAAACCGUGAAGCUUGAAACACUUCUGUACUGUGUGUCCAGCUUUACCACAAUGGGUACAAACCGGCCUUUGAUAAGCUCUCCCAGCAUUAUAAGCAGCAACAUAAGCAGUAUCUUCAACCGUAGAAACUGGACUAACAUGAGCUUGUGAUGUACCCGCAUGAAAAGCCACAUUGUCAAUAGCAGUAACAGGACGUAAGGUGCGUUGACGUUCAUCCUGAGCUACGAUGUUAAAGGCCUCUUCAAUAGUGGGGAUUGGUUUGAGCAUAAGAAUAUGGCGACGAGUGUGCUCAAAUGACUCAUUUAAUCCCAUCAGGAACUUAGUCACACGAGAACGAUGCUGAAUCUUCUCCCAAAGAGCUGCUGCGUCACACUCACAUUUGCCACAAGUACAAAUAGGAAGUUCAACAAAAUUACGAUGUUCCUCCCAUAGAGUAACAAGCGCAGUGUAAUAUGUUGAUAUAUCCAUAGACCCUUGUUCAAUCUUGCUCAAACGUUGCUCAAUGUCAUACACUCUCGGCGCAUCAUCUUGUUUGAAUCGACAAAGCAAAUUCUUCCAAAUUCCUUCAGCAGUAGAGAUGAAAAGUAAACUCUGUGCGAUCUCCUUUGACACCGAGUUCAUUAACCAAGUCGCAACAAUAUCGUUACACCUAGACCAAGCACCACAAUCUCUAUGCGUAGAAGGCGGUUUAGGAAUCGUACCAUCAAUGAAGCCAAGCUUAUUACGGACGUUCAAAGCCAUACGAACAGAACGCCUCCAAGAAUGAAACUCCGAGGCCAUUGCCAAACGAUCAGUGACCAAAAUCAAUCCAGCAUGAUCGUUGUGAUGAAGAUAAAACGGAUUGUCAUAGUUAUCGGAGACUUGACGAACAGAAUCUUGAUGUACAGAAGAUUGAUUCGCCGCCAUGAGAUCUGACUGAACCGAUUACUGAGACGAAGAACCGGGAUGAUGAAUCAGAAAGAUUAUGCAGACGAACAAUCGAACCAAAAGAUCACAGAUCGUAGCGAAGACGACGACGAACAAGCGAGAAAGAGGAAUCAACGGAAGACUCAUGAGGAAUCAAAAUCACAGCUCAAAGAACGAAGCGGAAGGUGAGAUUUAGUGCUCUGAUAGCGUAAUAACGUUCAGAUACAGAGAUGAUGAAGAUGAUGAUUUGAGCUUGAGCUGAGAAGAUGAAUCAGAGAAAAGGAUAAAGUGAAAGUUUGUUAUUUCUCGUAAACUGAAAUGUACAUGAUUCUGUUCUAUAUAUAGUUACUCGGUUAAGCAAACGGAAACUUAACCAAUAUAAUAAACCGGGAACUAAACCGGACUAUAUUAAUAGAGCGCGUUGUCUGCCACUUCUACCGCGAGAAUUGGCGCUGUAAAGUAUGGUAUUCACCAAUCUUGACAAGAGAUGUUAGGACAGCAUCAUUAUUGCUGGGACAAAAUUUUGAGUUCUUAACUUUUUUUAUUAUUAUUUUUAGAGUAAGAGACAUUGUUAAGAGACAAUAGCAAAUGUGCACAUUAUUGCUAGGACUCUUGCUACUGAUUCUCGUCUCUCCAUCAUCUGCUUCUAUGGUAUCUCCAUCCUCUUCUCUUUCUCCAGCAUUAACUGCAGAUGCAAAGCUAUAGAUAGAAUCAGUAACCGGUGAAAGAUUUAAAGGAGGUUGGUGGGAGACUUACGUUGAGAGCUCGCUGAGCUUCUCGUUCGAUCCAAAUGAUGGUGUGGUCUGAUGUUCGUUACAAGAAAGUACAAUGUGUUCAAAUCUUCCAUCUACGGGUACUGCUGUCUUCACAACCGGAGGAAAUCUUCCUAAUCUGCAACAAACAUUUACAUAAAUUGUGAGAAUGUUGUGAGCCAUCUUUGAAAGUUUCUACAAAAAUAUACUUUCAUAAACCCUCUACAUAUAGAGUUAAUGAUCAGUAUAUGAAGUAACAUUCCUGAUUCAUGAAUAUAAUUCAUACUCAUACAAUAAAGUUUACUGCUUUGACAGCACCAACCAUAGUUUUACAGUACCAGGUUCAUGGGCAUCUUCAUAACCUCAAAUCUAAGUAGCAACAAAUCAAAAUCAGCCAAAUUGACCUCACUAUCCAAGGAUCUAAGUUAAGCUGAGCAAAAACCAACUUGAUGAAUCAUACCCACACAAUAAAGUUUACUCAUUUGAUAACAUCCAACCAUGGUUUUAGAGUACAAAGUUCAUGGGCAUCUCCAUAACCUCAAAUCUAAGUAACAACAAAUCAAUAUUACCCAAAUAGACCUAAUUAUACAAGGAUUUAAGCUAAGCUGAGCAAUAAAAAUCAACACUUUUAUAACGCCCCGAUCCGCCCACGGCUAAUGGGCCACCCACGCCCGCUCUCUCGGCCCGUGGGCCCAUCCCGUCUGACGGUCGGUCCGUUCAUUUUCCAAAGGCUCGAAAUCAUUGUUUACUGACCCUGCAAUCACCACCCGACCUUUUCCCAUGCUUUGGCCUCACUCACACGCUAUCGCGAAUCACUUCCCGAUAGGUCACUCAUCCUUCCACUACUCCAGCUCAAGCACGCUUAACUCUGGAGUUCUUUCAGGAUGUGCUCCGGAAAAGGUAAGUCAACUUUGGUGACAUAGGUAGCCAAAUCAAUUCUCUUAAGCCUUUUCACAUAUCACAACUCGGGAUGUUACAAUUCACCCCCUCUCAAAGAACGCAACGUCCUCGUUGCGGCCCAUGACAGGUCUCAAGACGCCUCUCAGGUCAGAACUGAGAUGGCUAACCAGCUCUGAUACCACUUAUAACGCCCCGAUCCGCCCACGGCUAAUGGGCCACCCACGCCCGCUAUCUCGGCCCGUGGGCCCAUCCCGUCUGACGGUCGGUCCGUUAAUUUUCCAAAGGCUCGAAAUCAUUGUUUACUGACCCUGCAAUCACCACCCGACCUUUUCCCAUGCUUUGGCCUCACUCACACGCUAUCGCGAAUCACUUCCCGAUAGGUCACCCAUCCUUCCACUACUCCAGCUCAAGCACGCUUAACUCUGGAGUUCUUUCAGGAUGUGCUCCGGAAAAGGUAAGUCAACUUUGGUGACAUAGGUAGCCAAAUCAAUUCUCUUAAGCCUUUUCACAUAUCACAACUCGGGAUGUUACAAUUUUAUUAUGUCCAGAUCAGGGUUUGUGAGAUGAAUCAGAGAAGGAAGCUUACUCGUUAGACGAUGGCAAGGGUUCUGCAAAGCCUCGACCAGAGGCAUUGUCGAAACUGGGUCCAUGAGAAUAAAGGGGAUAUAUAGAUGUUUCUGGAGACUUCAGAAAUCCUUGUUGACCCUUUUUGUUUUCAUUUCUCUUGCAGCCAAAAGAGAAGACGGAAAUCAAGAAGAAGGAAAGAAUACCUGCGAGAGGCAGAGAAAGAGAGAGAAUGGAAAACCUUUACCAUGUGACAUGUGUCUUAAGAGACGUUCUUUAUUGUCCUUAAUUAAGAAACGUUUUUUUCAAUAAUAGCUAAUUUUGAUUUAUUUUUAAUUCCAAUUACCUUAGAACCCCAGCUAAGGAAUGCCUAUAAUCAUGCUCUUAGUUUUUCUUUUAUGUUAGGACAGUAACUUUAGUUUCUUUUUAUGUUAGGACAGUAACUUAGUUAUUAUAUAAAAAUAAACUUCUUUUUUUUUUUGCAGGUGAUGGAUAAGCACAUGACAUGAGUAUAUUGGCGAAGCAGCACAUUGAGACGCGUUUUGUGAAGAUCCAAGCUGAGAAAAGUCCGUUCUUGGCUGAGAGGCUCACGAUUGUGGUUCUUCCCACUCUUUGCCCUCAUUAAGAACACGAAAGUGGAUGAUUAUGUGGUAUAAUCACACACUACACAAACUCUUAACUUUUGUUUUUUUUUCUGUCUUUUGGAGUAUGAUUGGUUUUUCAAUGUUGUUUUGGUAGGCUGGGUUUAAUGAGCUGGGAGGGAAAGACGAUUUCAGCACAGAUGAUCUGGAAGACAGGUUAGCUAGAGCUCAAGUUAUUCAUUACGAGGGUGAAUCAUCAUCUCAUAAGGUAAAGUCUAUGACACAAGCCAGGAGGAGUGUAAGGCAGAGUGCUAAUUCAGAUUCUGACUCUGAAUGAAUCCCAAGUCUUAAUAAUAUAAAGGAGGAAACAUGAAAUGUAAGUGAGCUUGUUGUUGAGUUUUAUUUGAACUAAUUAAGUUAGUCAUAUGUAAUAUUCAAAGCUAUUCAUUAGUCUUUUUGAUGAUCUAAUAUGGAUUUUUUAACCUUUUAACAUUAUUUAUUAUUUUAUCAAAAAUUAUGAAAAUUUUCAAGUAUCUGCAGACUGAUGAUUCUAAUUAUAUUAUCACCUAUGUCAUACAAUAAUUAAAUUAUAUAUAUAUUGAAUUUUAAGAACUUUUCCUAAACGUAAAACUGUGGAAUUUUAGAUUUUUGAUGAUUAUUUAAAAUAAAGUCUUGUAUUUCUGCCCUAUCUAUGUGUAUAUUUGAUUUAAAAAAAAAACUUGUUUGCAUAAAAGCACACGGAAUAUUUAAACUUAUUCUUUCACGAGAAGAAACACACCACAUUAAAAUGAGUAAAGAAAAAACUUAUAGAGAGUCGGACAUACUCUUGAGUCAUAUAUCGAUCUCAACUGGAUAUUUGUUCAGACAUUCUUCCCAAGGAUUAUCAGCAGAAGCCUUAACGUUACGAAGAGCCACCCAAACACAACUAUUGCAUUUAAACCCUGACCCCAACGCUAUCUGCCAAGUCCUAUCUCCUUUCUUCAUCCUUCCUUUCGCUUCCGUGUAAGCCAACUCGUACCAAAUAGAACUCGAUGAUGUAUUACCAAACCUAUGUAACGUCAUUCUUGAUGCUUCCACAUGUAACGGAGAGAGAUGAAGAUUCUUCUCAAGCUCAUCUAUAAGCGCUCUACCACCCGCAUGUAUACAGAAAUGCUCGAACGCAAGCUUGAAAUUCGGCAUGUAAUGCUUGAUCUUGGGGUUGAAAAACUUCUUUCUAAGGAAUGUGACAAAGAAGAGAAGCUUUUCGCUUAUGGGAAGAACCAGUGGACCUAACGUUGCGAUAUUAAUCUUAAGGGUUCUUGCAGCUACCAUGGGUAGAUCCUUUGACAAGGUGACUCCAACUACACCAUCUUCAUCUUCUUCUUGAGUCGCGCAUCCGUAAGAUCGGUCAUCGGACCCGGUAUGGACCCUCACCGUGUGGACAAGCUUGUAUUUAACGCGUUUUCGGUCUUUAGAGAUGUUAGAAAGCAAAACCGCAGCCCCACCUACCCGGAACAAACAGUUUGUAACCAACAUUGAUUUGUUGUUACCAACGUACAAGUUCUGAGUUAUGUUCUCGGUGCUGACCACAAGAGCAUAAGUGUUUCUAUGAACUUGUAACAAACUCUUAGCGACAUCUAUAGCGAUGACGCCAGCACUACACCCCAUCCCACCAAGAUUAAAGCUCUUUAUAUUUUCCCUAAGUUUAUAUUUGUUCACUAUGAUAGUUGCUAACGAAGGAGUUGGAUUGAAAGUGCUCGAGUUCACCACCAAGAUACCUAUUUCACUCGGGCUGAUUCCAGUGUUGCGGAGAAGAGUAUCGACCGCUCCUAGUAUAACUUCUUGAGUCUCUUUACGUGACCCGACCAUGCUUUGUUCUAUCGGCAAGCAAUGAAGACCUUCCGGUACGUAGGUCUCUUGGCCUAGACCGGAACGUUCUAGAAUCUUGGUCACAAAGUCCAUCAAGUAUUCGUUCUCGUCUGACUUCCCCCAUUUGCCUGAUUCACGUACAACUCUUACGUGGUGCAUAAUCUUCUUGACGCUGGCUUUGAGAUGAGACGGUGGGAGGUAGCAGCUGAAGUCAACUAGGUAAACGGGUUUGGGUCGGUUCAUAAUGUAAAGCGUCCACCCGAGAAUCAGAGAGAUGGAGAAUAUGGUUAGGGACGUGAAAUUUUUCUGUAGGGAGAGGUAAAAGCUGUGGAGAUCUUGUGUGGAAAGACGAGAAGCUUGCAUGGCUAUAGCAACCAACAAUGGGAGGAAACACAGCUUCAAGCGAUGGGUCGUGAGGUAGUUGAAAACCAUUUUUACGUUAUUCAGUGGGGAAUACUUUUUAGUGAUAUGUUUCCCCUGUUUUGUUUUUAAACUCUUAGUGUGGUCUUUGUUCGUUCUGGCUCGUAUUACAUUUAUAGAGGUUUUGAUUGAGUAUGAUAGAGGGGGUAAGAAGAAGAGAGAUAGCUAGAGAGACAGCUCUCAUGCAAUGAAUGUAAUAAAUAAGCAAGCACGUGAAAGUUUUUACUCCGAAUAGCGACAUUUCCAAGUUUUAUUUUAACGCUUCAAAUGUAACUCGGAUGUUUUCUCUAAGUUUAUAUUUGUUCACUAUGAUAGCUACACAAUACUGAAUAUUAACUUUCAUGUUUAACGAGGAUAAGAGAAAAGGUGCAUUUAUCUUGAAGGUUGUAGGCCAUAUGCAUUGUUGGGGAUCAUUUACGAGUCAUAAAGUCAGUGGCAAAAUAUGGAGUCAGAUGAAACACUCAAAUACUAACCCAAUGUUAUCUCAUGUUAAUGUACACAAACCGGCGAUGGAGUCUCCUAGCUGGGUACCAACGUCUUAGUUAGGUGCUUUCCUCGUCUAGUUAGGAUUGUCGAUGCACAUAUAUUUUUUUUAAUAGAACAAAUAUGAAUGGAGACACUACGCCGUUUGUAUUGUCAGCUCACUACCAAAAAUUAAAAAAAAAAAAUGAUGAAACGUGUUCGAUUGACAACAGAUAUACACAUGCAUGCGCGAAGAUGGUGUUGGCCAACCCUAUCCGAUAAGUUGGAUAAUCCGUAUGAUCAUAUCAACCAUGGGGAUGUCAAUAUAUAGUAGCUAGCUCAACUCGAUCAGCCGCUAGUGGUUUAAUGACUGGAUUUGGCUCCAUUGUGCCCCUAUUUUGAUUUUCGUUGGAAGAAAUGUUUUACGCCGUGUUACCGGUAUUAGCGCCGGCUGGUCUCGGACCUAGGUGGAUUAUUUGAGCCGAAGGCUAUACACCUCAUGGUUAAAAAAAACUAGAUCAACCCAAAUCAUUUAUUAUAUGAGCUUAUAUAUACUUUACCUUCGUUCAACUAUGAUUAGUCAAUGUAUAUGCAAUAAAUUUUCAUAUCACAUCAUACUUUCGAUUUUUUACAUAUCCUGACUAUGUCAAAUUUUGGAGUGUAUAUGCAAAGAUAUUUGCAUGGAAAAAAAUCACAGUUUAAUAUGUUACAUCUUCAUUAUUAAAAUCUUUUAAAAAAGAAUCUUAUAUCCUGUAGAAAAUGUAUUUUCUCAAAUUUUUAGAAAAUGAAUGGUUACACAACACUCAGGUAGUAAAUGCGUGUAAAAAAACAACUACCUAUCUUUUGCCGCAUGUCCGUAAAACAAGCAUCUUCUUGCUUCAGAAUUCAGAAAAACCUAAGACAUUGUCAGGUAACAAUGGUUUUACCCUUUAACAGUUUGUCUUUUUUACUCCUACUUUUUUUGCUGUAGUGAAAUCUCAUAACCUUAGAACAAUCUAUCAGUUUUGGUAUAUUUUUAUAAAUAGAGAAACAAAAGAAUUCAAGCAAAGGGGUUUUCUCAAAGAAUAGGAAAAAUUACCUCCUAAACAGUAUUUCCAUUCAUGAUAUAAGAAGACAUUAAAUGCUAUUUUGUCUAUAUAUACUCCAAUUGUGUAAAAAUAUUAAAUUUGAAGGCAUCAAUGGAGUAGAUACAAGUCCACAUAUGGGCGCAGGACACUAAUUGUAUUCAGAUAAUUUGCACUCCCAAUUUAAAGCGGAAGGAUGGUGCGCACAGAUCUCAGCGUAGAAAAACAUGGUUGGGCAUAACAAUAUUUACUAGUUGUUUCACCACUAAAGAAAUUAAACCGUAGAAUUUAUGUUUGAUAAAGAAUUGGGAGUUGAGAGUGCGACGUGUGAGAGCAUCAUUAUCGUUUAGAAAUCCACUGGAAUUUUAAUUUCUUAAUAAUAUUGAUAUGAAUCUGUAUUUUUUUGAGACUCUUCCCUUUUUUAUGUCUUGAUGUUUCUUAUUUUUGUCUUUAAAUUGUCGAACUUGGUAAGAACUCUUCAAUGAUGAUUGAUAGCUUGUGACAAAAAGCAAGUCAAGGUUAAAAGCUAUUUGAGAAUUAUGGAUGUUUGUAUAAAAACUACUCCAUAUCUGGAGUUCCACCGAGUUUUCCAUAACGUAACAGUUGAUAGAGGUAAUGCACUCAUCAGAAUAUUUGAAAAUUCGGUGAUAGCUAAUUGAAUGUUUGUUUGAAAAAAAAAAAAAAGUCUAGUCAACAACCUAACAGAAACUAAAGUCAAUCUCCAACAAGACACCAAAACAUCAAAUUUGGUGUAAUUUUAUCUUCAACAAAACACCAAAUUUAACAGCAUCCCACCAAAUUUGGUGUAACACUAUUCAUCACAUCAAAUCUUUAAAUACAUAUUUUAUUAUGUUUUAUUUAAUAAUAUAGUUCAAUUACUAUCAAAUUUGUAAUUAAACAUAAAUAUAUUGUAUCAUUUAUAUUUUAAAUUUAUUUUCACAUAAUUAAAAUAUUAAAUCUUUUAUUUUUAUUUUUAUUUUUAUUUUCAAAAUAAAUUAUUAAAUGACCAUUAUUAUUUAUCACUUAAAAAUAAUAAUAAUCUAAAUAAUAAUCUAAAUGUGAUAAAAUAAUUAUUUAUCAAUCACAAACAAUAAAAUUUAAAAAAUUUAAAAUAUCAAAUAAUAGUAUAUUAUUUUUGGUGUAAAAUUUAGUGUAAUUGUUAAAGAUGACCAAAAAUUUUUGAUACCAAAACACCAAACUUAGUGUAAUUUCCACACCAAAUUUGGUGGCAUUGUUGGAGAUGCUCUAAGGACUCGUGCAAUCCCUUUCUUGUGGAGCUGGCAAAGCAAGUCAUUGAGCUCCUCUAGUCUUGGUGAGCCACUUGUAAGCUCCCCUAUCUAUCACAAUUAUCCCCUAUCUGUCACAGUUUCGUCAUGUAUGUAGUUUGUUUAGAUACCGAAACUGGGAGAUGGCAGCACAGGACAGUGAGCUGAGGUUGAUUGAGAGGACCGGUUGUUGGCAGGGAAGAGACGACGAUUACAAGAUUUGGAGACGAAGCAAUUUUAUUUUCCUUGCGAAAUGAUCUCACGUUUUUAGAAUUAAUAUGAAUAUUAGAUAUUACCAUACUUUGUUGGACAGUACUUCAUGAACUUGUGUCUUUCGAAGUUUUAAACUCUACGCUUGUUAACAAGAAUGACCAUGCCUCAAUGUAUUUUUAUACCGCAAAAACAACCGCAAUAAAAUACACUUUCUAAAGAAACACACGAGAAAAACGAUGUAAAGAACACAACUGACAGAUUCAUAAAAGAGUUGUUCAUGUCCUAAAAAAAAAAGAUGAAGCAUAUUUGUAACCGCAAAUGGGAAGCAAGGAGACACAUAACCGACUAUAGAUAUCCUCCAAAGGUUUAACUACUAAACUUGGUUGAAUAAAACUUCUUAAAACCCCUAACAUUUUACUAAUAUGUAAUCUGCCUUGAUAGCUCACCAAAAGAUACGCAAAUGAUUGAUUGUCUUUUUUUUUCCAGCCAAAUUUCAUUUCAUUUCAUUCAGAGAAAGUGAGGACCAAUGAGCUUUGCAAUCUCCAAGAAGCCGACACGGUCUUUGCCAUCAAAUAUCUUCUUCAGCUUCUCGUCGCAGAUUAUAACCUUCUUGUUUUGUGGAUCCUGUAGAAAGAACAACAUUUACUCACUUUUAAGUCACCACCAAAGGUUAUAACACAAAGUAAGAUAGAAUAUGAAUAGACUUGUUGUCAUUAUUUUGAAAAGUUAUCACUACUAAAACCCAAAACAACGAACAUGAGCAUGAGCAAAACGUGAAAAAAUCUACAUUUGUUUCAACUAGACAGAACUCAAAAUAAUCAUUAGACAGGUCAAGUAAGGUGAUUCAAAACCAAACAUGACAACUAACUAAGGAAUCAAAAAGGGAUUUAAUUAAUAAUACAUAUCUUAUCCCCAAUAAACAAUUGAGGUCACUAGUGAACUGUAUCGUCACUACUCAACUGUAUCAUCACAACAGAGCCUAGUCAACGUAAGCUGUUAGAAGGUUUUUUACUAAGCUCCAAAAAGGUUUCAAACCUCAUCCAAAUUAUUAAAAGCUGUCUCUUUUGAAAUCAAUAAGCAAUUAGAAAGAGAGAGAGUAUUUACUUGAAGGUCGUGUUCCUUGAUGUAAGCCCAAAUACGCUUGAGGGCCUGUGUGCGAGGUAUCACCGAUUCGCCUACAACGUCCUGCAUCUCGGGGGUCACCGGGCGAGGCUUCAUGAUGCCACGUGGCUCCCUCGUCUUGGUGGUUGAAGAGGGCUCGGAGGACGCCGCCGCCGUCGCGGAGGUUACGGCUCGCACCAUGCGCAGGUUAGCCGGAUGAGGAGAAAUACGGAGAGACGGCGAGCUUCGGAACGGCGCCGUAUCGACGCGGAGAGAGGUAGAGAAGGUAGCAGAAGAAAGAGCCAUUGUCGUCGUCUUGGGUGUUGUGUCUGUCUCUCUGUCUGU